rnacentral:ncRNA from 2 species
CCUGCCGAAUCAACUAGCC